rnacentral:lncRNA from 1 species
CCACCAAGCACAACUAACACAUUUCUCCUAGGAUUCUGUCUGGCACUUUUGGAACUGGAACCAUACUUCAGGACAGAGCUGUCUGCACUGCAAUUCAAACCAAGGACUCCAACUGGAGAGCACGAGGAUACCCUUCAUCUCCCCUUCAGAUCUCCAGCCAACAGCAGCAUGUAGUCCCUUUCCAUGGGAUGAGGAUGUCAAAACUUCCUCCACACCCUCUGCAAGAAUGAGAUGUUUGUAGAAGCUUUCGCAAUGUUUUGGCUGUAGUCAAGGGCCACAGCUCCUCCAGAGUCUGAGAUUUAGGCAGACCUCAAAGGUUGGUGAGAAAUG